rnacentral:lncRNA from 1 species
AGGCAUGAACCACCAUCUCCGGCCUGAAGUUUAUUUAAUCCAUUGCCUUGUGGACUGGGCAUUGAAGUUGUGUGUAGUUGGGUUUUUUUGUUGUUGUUGCUGUUGCAGACAAUACUACUGUGAACAUUCUUAUCCAUGCUUCCUUGUGUCCCGUAAAUGUUCCCUCCAGGGAGAUACCUUGGAGUGACAUGCUGGUGUGAGGGAUGCAUAUCAUAAUUUUACCAGAUACUACAGAUCUUGAAAUUGUUCCAAUUCUACCCCACAAGCAAUAUAAGAGCUCUCACUCCUCCAAAACUCCCUGAGUCUUUACUUAUAUAAUUUAUGAUUUUGACAGUCUUACAGAUUUAAAAUGGUACCUAAUUGUGUACUUAAUUUGUGCUUUUCUGAUUUCACUAGUGAGAUUGAGAUUCUUUUUGUAUGUCCAUUAGCCCUUCAGGCCUCUGUGAUUUACCCAUGAUUUACUGUGGUUUAAUAAUUUUUAUUGGGUUCUUUUCCUUAUUGAUUUAUGGGAACUUAUUAUA